UAAUAAAAUCUAUACGAAAAAAUAUUCAUAUAAUUGUAAAAACAACUUUUAUGUUUUUUUUUAAAGAAUAUUGUUCACAAUUUAAAGAUAUAGUUUCUUAAUUACUCCCUUCCCUCCCUCCCCCCUUCCCUCCUCUAAUCAAAUCUUAUAUGAGUAAAAAUAAUAUGUAAUUGCAAAAAGCUUUUAUGUUUCAUGUUUUACUUUAUUAUAUUGUUUAUUCAUCCCCCC
rnacentral:lncRNA from 1 species